UACACACGUGUUAGGAUCAAAUUCUUAUCUUAAGAUUACACUUUUUUUGGUUAACAGUGGUUAACUGUGUGUGUGUGAUCAUGAUCUCAUCCAUGAUGAAAUGUCAAGUUUAGAAAAAUGUGUUUUAUGUGGACUUUUUUCACCUCUAAAAUGGAGUGGUGUGUGAUGUAAAGGUAAUUUUUUGAGAAUGGGAAUUGGGUUCAUCUUUUGAAUAUGAUCCCACAGGAACACUUCUAAAAAGUGUUCCAUGUGUAGCUGUGCUGUAUGUUGAAAUUGAGUCAUAGUGUGGCACUGACUUUUUAAAUAUUUAUCAUGCUACCGCCCUUUGUCAAUUCUUAUUUUUCUCUGUCUAGUUUGCAACCAGUCCUGGCACAAAAAUGUUAUCGUAAAUAAAAGGACAUCACUGAACUUCAAGUGGUAUGUCCAGAACAAAGUUCAAGUGAGGUGACAUCAUCAAAAGAGGAGUAUGUUCCUGAUUCUGUAGAUGAUUCAGACAUCUCAUGGGAUGACAGAUGCACUCCACAGAAAUAUGGACUAGUCAUAGUCCAUAUUUCCAUGUUAGGACUUCUUAUAGAACAUAAAUUGUAUGUUUUUUGUAUGCGUAUGCCGUGGUCCUGAUAAAUAAAAUUGGCCCUGACAAUUACUGUUGGUGCCAUGUGCGGAGCCAAG